rnacentral:rRNA from 1 species
ACGGAGGGUGCGAGCGUUAUUCGGAAUUACUGGGCGUAAAGCGCAUGCAGGCGGGGUGUCAAGUCGGCUGUGAAAGGCACGGGCUCAACCCGGGCAGGGCGGUGGAAACUGUCGUUCUGGAGUACUGGAGAGGGAACGGGAAUUCCCGGUGUAGAGGUGAAAUUCGUAGAGAUCGGGAGGAAUACCAGUGGCGAAGGCGCGCUUCUGGCCGGUGACUGACGCUGAGACGCGAAAGCGUGGGGAGCGAACGG